rnacentral:rRNA from 1 species
GACGAACGCUGGCGGCGUGCCUAAUACAUGCAGGUAGAACGCUGAAGGAGGAGCUUGCUUCUCUGGAUGAGUUGCGAAUGGGUGAGUAACGCGUAGGUAACCUGCCUGGUAGCGGGGGAUAACUAUUGGAAACGAUAGCUAAUACCGCAUAAUAUUGACUAUUGCAUGAUAGUCAGUUGAAAGGUGCAACUGCACCACUACCAGAUGGACCUGCGUUGUAUUAGCUAGUUGGUGGGGUAACGGCUCACCAAGGCGACGAUACAUAGCCGACCUGAGAGGGUGAUCGGCCACACUGGGACUGAGACACGGCCCAGACUCCUACGGGAGGCAGCAGUAGGGAAUCUUCGGCAAUGGACGGAAGUCUGACCGAGCAACGCCGCGUGAGUGAAGAAGGUUGUCGGAUCGUAAAGCUCUGUUGUAAGAGAAGAACGAGGGUGAGAGUGGAAAGCUCACACUGUGACGGUAUCUUACCAGAAAGGGACGGCUAACUACGUG